rnacentral:rRNA from 1 species
GGUGCGAAGGUAGCGUAAUCAAUUGUCUUUUAAUUAAAGACCCGUAUGAAAGGCACCACGAGAGUUUAUCUGUCUCUAUUUUCCAAUCAAUGAAAUUGAUCCUCUCGUGCAGAAGCGAGAAUAUAAACAUAAGACGAGAAGACCCUAUGAAGCUUUAAACACUUAAGUUAUUUUUAAAAAGAUAAACCUACCCCCGGGUAUAAAAUAGACUAAAUUUUUAACUUAUUUGUUUUUGGUUGGGGCGACCGAGGGGUAAAACAAAACCCCCUUACCGAACGAGUAAUCUACUACUUAAAAACUAGAGCCACCACUCUAGCGAAUAGAAGAUCUAACGAACAAUGACCCAAGAACUAAACUCUUGAUCAAUGGACCAAGCUACUCUAGGGAUAACAGCGCAAUCCUUUCCCAGAGCCCUAAUCACCGAAAGGGUUUACGACCU